rnacentral:rRNA from 1 species
GCGAACGGGUGAGGAACACGUGAGAAACCUGCCUUUCAUUCUGGGAUAACACCGGGAAACCGGUGCUAAUACCGGAUACUCCGUCUUGGCGGCAUCGCCGAGCCGGGAAAAAAUUUUGAUGAAAGAUUAGCCUACGCACUAUUAGUUAGUUGGUGAGGUAAAUGCUUACCAAGACGAUGAUGGUUAUCCGGCCUGAGAGGGUGAUCGGACACAUUGGGACUGAGAUAUGGCCCUGACUCCUACGGGAGGCAGCAGUGGGGAAUUUUGCGCAAUGGACGAAAGUCUGACGCAGCAACGCCGCGUGGAGGAAGAAGGUCUUCGGAUUGUAAACUUCUGUUGAUCGGGAAGAAAUAAUAAAAAUUAAUACUUUUUAUGGAUGACGUUACCGAUCUAGAAAGCCCCGGCUAACUUUGUGCCAGCAGCCGCGGUAAUACAAAGGGGGCAAGCGUUAUUCGGAAUUAUUGGGCGUAAAGGGCGCGUAGGCGGUGAAAUAAGUUUGUUGUUUAAUCUUUCAGCCCAACUGGAAGUAUGCAUUAAAUACUGUUUUGCUAGAGUAUGAUAGAGAUGAGUGGAAUUUUCGGAGUAGCGGUUAAAUGCGUAGAUCUCGAAAGGAACGCCAAUGGCGAAGGCAGCUCAUUGGGUCAUUACUGACGCUGAGGCGCGAAGGCGUGGGGAGCAAACAGGAUUAGAUACCCUGGUAGUCCACGCAGUAAACGAUGAUCACUAGACGUUUGGGGGUAACCCUGAGUGUCGCAGCUAACGCGAUAAGUGAUCCGCCUGGGUAGUACGAUCGCAAGAUUAAAACUUAAAGAAAUUGACGGGGGUCCGCACAAGCGGUGGAACAUGUGGUUUAAUUCGAUACUACGCGAGGAACCUUACCUGGGUUUGACAUGUAUAUGACUGUCAUAGAAACAUGGCUUCUAUAUAGCAAUAUAUAGCAUAUACACAGGUGUUGCAUGGCUGUCGUCAGCUCGUGUCGUGAGAUGUUAGGUUAAGUCCUUUAACGAGCGCAACUCUUGUCGUUAGUUGCUAUUCCUUUACGGAAGCACUCUAAUGAGACUGCCUAGGAAACUAGGAGGAAGGAGGGAAUGAUGUCAAGUCCGCAUGACCCUUAUACCCAGGGCUACACACGUGUUACAAUGGCUAAUACAGAGAGCUGCAAAUUCGUAAGAAUGAGCCAAUCUCAUAAAGUUAGUCUAAGUUCGGAUUGAGGUCUGAAAUUCGACCUCAUGAAGCUGAAAUCGCUAGUAAUCGCGCAUCAGAACGGCGCGGUGAAUACGUUCUCGGACCUUGUACACACCGCCCGUCAAGCCAUGAGAAUUGUCUGUACCAGAAAAUAUUUUUGCUAACUUUAACGAGAGGCGAAUGUCGAAGGUAUGGGGGAUGAUUGGGGCCCAUAUCGUGACUGGGAAACAG